rnacentral:rRNA from 1 species
AUUGAACGCUGGCGGCAUGCCUUACACAUGCAAGUCGAACGGAUUUAAGGGGCUUGCUCCUUAAGUUAGUGGCGAACGGGUGAGUAAAGUAUCGGAACGUACCAUUCAGUGGGGGAUAACGUAGCGAAAGUUACGCUAAUACCGCAUAUUCUGUGAGCAGGAAAGCAGGGGAUCGCAAGACCUUGCGCUGAUUGAGCGGCCGAUAUCAGAUUAGCUAGUUGGUGGGGUAAAGCCCCACCAAGGCUACGAUCUGUAGCGGGUCUGAGAGGAUGAUCCGCCACACUGGGACUGAGACACGGCCCAGACUCCUACGGGAGGCAGCAGUGGGGAAUUUUGGACAAUGGGGGCAACCCUGAUCCAGCCAUGCCGCGUGAGUGAAGAAGGCCUUCGGGUUGUAAAGCUCUUUCGGUGGGGAAGAAAUCGCGCUCGUUAAUAGCGGGCGUGGAUGACGGUACCCGCACAAGAAGCACCGGCUAACUACGUG